rnacentral:lncRNA from 1 species
CACCGCGCCCAGCCUGCAUUAUUAUUUUUCUUGAGUCUGCAUCACCCUGUUGCAACAAUAUAGCAUAAACUAUUUAACUAGUUUCCUAUAGGUGGAUGUUUACCUUUUUUUCUUUUGUCAUUAUAAGCAAUUCAAACAGCAAGUCAAACAGAUUUGUUACAUAAAUUCAUUAAAGUGAAACUGUUGGAUCACAGAUUAUGUCCAAUUCUCAUUUUGGCCCAAACUGCCAAACUCCCUGGAAAUUUCCAAGAGGUAGUAUUAUAUAAUAGCAAGGGUUCUGCUGCCAGACUGCUGUGGUUUGGCUACUGGCUUAGCCACUUACUAGUUGUGUAACCUGGGGUAAAUUACUCUAAAAUGCUGUACCUCAGUUUCUUCAUCCAUAAAAUGGGGGAGAAUAGCAGCUGUUUCCUCACAGGGUUAUUAUGAGGUUUAAAUGAGAGAAUACAUGUGAAACAGUAUAACACCCGACACAAAGCAAUUUCUGGGUAACUCUGACACAAAACAGAAAAUCAAAAGUCAAAACAAGACAAGUAGAAUCCCUCAGACAAUGGGGAAUGACCCAGAUUGACCCAUCUUGGUUUGGGUCCCUGCUUCCAUGUAACACUAAUGGUUCCAAAUGACUCCACACUGGGGCUAUGCGUUUAGGCUGCACUGAUGAGGCUUGCGUAGGUACAGGGCAUGGUAUGCCUAAUGGUCUGGCCAUUUCACUAGGGCCAACAUGACUUCCCCGAGGGUCAGGCCCUUGUCUUUGCUUGCCUGGCAUAAUAGCUAAUACAGAGUUAAGUGUGGGGUUUCAACACUAGAGCCUCCAAAUGAGUGAUGUGCCCAGAGUGAGAUUUAAUGCUAACAAUGGGUGUAGGAGGCUUACUUGCAGAAACCAAUGCUGGAAGAAUUGACUUGCCUAAGAUCACACAAAAGGAAAAGAUGGAGGUGGCAUUAGUAUAGGAGAAAGCAUUCUCUUUCCACUGUACAACACUGUGUCCAGCUACCUCUCUGUAAGUGACUAAAGGAAUGGAGUUGGCCAUUUAAAGAAAUGAUGAUAAUGACAAUGAUGUUGACUAUGACAACAGCUGCCUAACUAACGUCUAUUGAACACAAUGAGCCAGGCACUGUUAAGUGCCUAAGCAUUUUAUGUGGAUUAUUUUACUUAAUUCUCCUGACCAUAUGGUUGAAUGUUUAUUACUGGUAGUUACUGGUUGAGUGUCAGGUGCUCUUCUAAGCACUUUACACAUUCCGACUCAUUUCGUUUUCACAACAAUUCCAUGAGGUAGGUACUAAUAUUACCUCUGUUUUAAAUGAGCUGAGGGAAAGAGAGAUUAGCUAACUUACAAAAACCUAGUGGGUAGAGGAUUCGCACUUUUAAUCCAGACAUUCUGGCUAUUCUUGUUCUUUUAGACUAAAGAUGCAGGAGGUUGAAUUAAUAAUACUCCUCAUUCUAUAGUACCCUCUCUUCAUCAGUCUCUUCGCGGCCUCUCUCUUGUUCUAUUUAUCCCUAUCUAUUGAUUAUCUAUCUAUCUAUCUAUCUACCUAUAUACCUAUCUAUCCAUCCAUCCAUUUUAUGUUUCUCCUCUUAUUCUCCUCCCCCUCCCCAGAAGUGACCACUCAGCUCUCUUCCCUGCCAUCAGGCCUGUUGCAGGCUGAAUUUUGUGCCCUCGGUGAAAUAUGUUGAAGUCCUAGCCCUCAGUACGUCAGAAUGUGAGCUUAUUGGGGGAAAUAGUGUCAUUGUAGAUGUAACUAAUUAAGAUGAGGUCAUACUAGAGAAGUAGAGUGGGCCCUUAAUCCAACAAGACUAAUGUCCACGUGAAGAGGGCCAUGUGAAGAUGCAGAAAUAUAGUGAGAACAUCAUGUGAAGAUGGAGACAGAGAUGUGAGUGAUGCAUCUACAAGACAAGGAAUACCAGCAAUUGCCAGCCACCAUCAGAAGCUGGCAAAGAGGCAUGAAACAGAUUCUCCUUUGGAGACCUCAGAAAAAACCAAUCCCGCCAAUCCCUUAGUCUUGGACUUCUAGCUUCCAGAACUGUGAGAGUAUACAUUUCUGUUGUUUGAAGCUGCCUGGUGGUACAUUUUUAUGGCAGCCUAGGAAGGGCUGCAAAAGGCUGGACAGCCAUUUCUGAGCCUGGGCUCCAUGGGGAGAUAUUUAGCAAAGGCUUUGACCAGCAUGCUGGUUUCAUCAUCCCUGGCCCAUGAGCCAGUCUUGCCAUUCCCAACUCUGAAUAGGACACCAUCUAAUUUCCCUGCUCCUGGACCUAGGCUGUCAAGGUAAUAGCAAAACUAGAUGAAUUGAUUAUGUUGCAAAGUCAUUGUCUCCAAUCAUAACUUGCCCCUUUCUGAGCCUGAGCAAUCUUUCAUCACAUUGAAUAAGUAUCAUAGAGAUUCUCAACUAGUGGGGAGAGAAGGGCUCAUGGUUUGAAAUAAAAACUUUGCCUCAUUGCUUUACUUCAUUUAAAAUUUAUUUCGAAUUUCUAAAAACAUCAGAGGAGGAUAGGUAAUUUUUCUUUUUUGCAGAGUAGUGUAAAGGUGGAUCCAUAUUCCCCUUUGCUUGAAAUUAGCACAAAUGUGCAUAGGUGGUGGAGUUGUGGUACAAAUGAAUAAAGCAGCCUGCCUUUCUAACCACCACUAUACAAGACACUCUUAUGGUUUACUAGAUUGGAAGCUCCUGAAUGACAAAAACCCUUCUAUGUUCCCUCUGUGCAUCUUCCCAACUCCCUAAUGCCAUUCAUCGCACUUUAAAGACAUUCAGUAAAAAGAGGCACAGACGGCCAGG